rfam:Corchorus capsularis cultivar CVL-1 contig06200, whole genome shotgun sequence.
UGGUGCGAUCAUACCAGCACUAUGCACCAGAUCCCAUCAGAACUCCGCAGUUAAGCGUGCUUGGGCGAGAGUAGUACUAGGAUGGGUGACCUCCUGGGAAGUCCUCUUUUGUCUCCCCUU